rnacentral:rRNA from 1 species
GACGAACGCUGGCGGCGUGCUUAACACAUGCAAGUCGAACGGAAAGGCCCUGCUUUUGUGGGGUGCUCGAGUGGCGAACGGGUGAGUAACACGUGAGUAACCUGCCCUUGACUUUGGGAUAACUUCAGGAAACUGGUGCUAAUACCGGAUAGGAGCUCCUGCUGCAUGGUGGGGGUUGGAAAGUUUCGGCGGUUGGGGAUGGACCCGCGGCUUAUCAGCUUGUUGGUGGGGUAGUGGCUUACCAAGGCUUUGACGGGUAGCCGGCCUGAGAGGGUGACCGGCCACAUUGGGACUGAGAUACGGCCCAGACUCCUACGGGAGGCAGCAGUGGGGAAUAUUGCACAAUGGGCGGAAGCCUGAUGCAGCAACGCCGCGUGCGGGAUGACGGCCUUCGGGUUGUAAACCGCUUUCGCCUGUGACGAAGCGUGAGUGACGGUAAUGGGUAAAGAAGCACCGGCUAACUACGUG